UGGUGUUUACUAUGAAUGUGUGGGAACAU
rnacentral:piRNA from 1 species